rnacentral:lncRNA from 10 species
UCUAACACCUGACACAAACGUUUGGUGUCUAGUUUAGGUCCUCAAUAAAUGUUAGUUGAAUAAACAGUUUUCUCUCUGUUAACUCUCCUCUCUAAUGGCAGUUUUUUCAAAAUCCAGGCACGGAUUGGGCUUACUGCACACUUCAGCGUAGGAGCACGUCGGUUCACCAUUAGAGUAACGGAUCUCAGGGGUCAAAGUUGUGGACUCAAUCGUAGAGGAAACCACUGGGCUCACCAAGAGAAUGAUCGUUUCCGGCCCCUUUCUACAUAACUUCAUGCAACACGGAGACUCCUGAAAGUUGUAGAUGAGUUGGAUUUCUGAAAAUCAAGUUGUUUCGUCUUUAUUGAAAUGUCCUAGCUUCAUUUGACUGGACUUGGGUCACUAAUAGGUUUCUUACACUUUGGCUUUGAGUUUCUUUGCCUAGAGGCCUGUAAGUCAAGAAAGUCUAGGAAACAAAAGGGGGCAUGAAAUAGUAACAUGGAAUGACUGAAAGGGUCAUUUUGCAGAUGGGGAAACCAAGGGGCUAAGUGACUGCCUAAGGCCACAGGUUACAGUGUAGACCUGAGCCCAGAACCUAGAUCCUGGGCCCAAGGCCACUGGUCUUUCCACUGUGGGGAAACCUUAGUGAGCCAGGGAAGUACAGUAUUUACAAGAACCUACCAUUGAACUAUCUGGGGGUGUGGGAAAUGGCUGUUUGCCUCCAUAUGAGGCUUUCUCAGCAUUCUUGUUUUACAGAGUACACCACCUCAUCUCCCCGCUUGGAGGUGCAUAUUGUCUACGGCACCCAUAACUGCAGGACUGGCAGCCUGGGAAGGGCCAUGCCGGGGGCUGAUGGAAGCCCUCACUCUGGCGCUCCCUUGCACCUCCCACCCACAUGAUGCAGAGGUCCGUUGUGCUCUAUCCCAGAAUCCAAACUGCACCCCGUGUCCCCGCCAGUCCAAGUACUAUCAGAUAUGUCAGCAGCAGGGAAAUGCCACUUCCAGGUUUCCAGCUGGGCCUGAGGGGCUUUGUGGAGUCAGUAGCAGAGGAGGCAGGGUGAGCAGAGCCGCUGGGCAGGCACAGCCCAGAAGCAGGGCCUGAUGUGCAGCUGGAAGUAGAGGGAUUGGCCCUGGAGUCUCCACUGGCUGGGCUGGGAAUGGUUCUAGACACUGGUCUCAGGCUGGACAGAUGCGUGUUUGUUCCCCAUGCUCCUGCGCAAGGGGCAGAGCUACAGUUGCUACUGAUGUACCAAGAGGCUGACUGUCCUCAGUGUGUCCACUCCAGGAGAGAACCAUGGCCUCAUGUGCUUGCAGCCCUGCCUGGCCACUCAGGGUGCUUUACGUUGCUGCAGUGCUCUUGGUUUCAUGCCACUGCCUUUGGGAGACAGCAGUGUCUGUGGAUACCUCUCUGGACCUGGAUACCCAGGUCAGUCAGCAGCUCCUGAAAAACCUGCACCUGAAAAAGUCCCAGCCCUGACCUCCAGACUGCUGCCAGUGGCUCUAGAAUCCUACCUUUCACAGCUGGACAUGGAAGCAAGAAGGGUGGUGGCACCAUAUUGGACUCCUGAGGAGAUGAGGAAGUGUGCACUCAAGUAACAGUGCUGUCUGAAAGACUUAGAGCAACAAGGUGGAUCUGACAAGCAGUUGACCAUGAACAAAGAAGUUUUGCAACCUCCUUGGACCCCUGAUGACAGCCAGAUGUCUGUGGCCUCCAGUCACCUCCAGACCUUCACCCCCUGCAUGGUCCCUCUUCCUCUAAUAUGAAAGAAGCCUAAAAAAAUCUAUCAAUCUAAGUUGGUUCUGGCUGGGCACGGUGGCUCAUGCCCGUAAUCCCAUCACUUUGGGAGGCUUAGGCAGGAGGAUCACGAGGUCAGGAGUUCGAGACCAGCCUGGCCAAGAGACCAGCCUGUGGUGAAACCCCAUCUCUACUAAAAAUACAAAAAUUAGCUGGGAGUGGUGGCGGGCACCUGUAAUCCCAGCUACUCGGGAGGCCUAGGCAGGAGAAUUGCUUGAACCCAGGAGGUGGAGGUUGCAGUGAGCUGAAGAUUGUGCCAUUGCACUUCAGCCUGGACAACAGAGUGAGACUCCGACUCACAAAAAAAAAAAAAAAUGUUCUUUAGGACAUUGGUCCUCCAUCUUCUCAGUUGGAAGCUCCCAGAAAUAAAGUCAUCUUCC